rnacentral:rRNA from 1 species
GAUGAACGCUAGCGGCAGGCUUAACACAUGCAAGUCGAGGGGUAUUGGUUUUCGGACCAAGAGACCGGCGCACGGGUGCGUAACGCGUAUGCAAUCUACCUUUUGCAGAGGGAUAGCCCCAGAGAAAUUUGGAUUAAUACCUCAUAGUAUAGUACUUUGGCAUCAAGGAACUAUUAAAGUCACAACGGCAAAAGAUGAGCAUGCGUCCAUUAGCUAGUUGGUAAGGUAACGGCUUACCAAGGCUACGAUGGGUAGGGGUCCUGAGAGGGAGAUCCCCCACACUGGUACUGAGACACGGACCAGACUCCUACGGGAGGCAGCAGUGAGAAUAUUGGACAAUGGGCGCAAGCCUGAUCCAGCCAUGCCGNGUNCAGGAUGACGGUCCUAUGGAUUGUAAACUGCUUUA